CAGUCCAACUUGAGUGUCCAAGUGUCGUGUGCUGAAAGAAGCUUCAUGUCCAGGAGAUUCCAUUUGGACAACUUACGACUUUCUUUUUCGAUUACACAGGCAUGCCCGAAGUUGUUUUGCUCAAAUAUCGGAUUAAUUGCGUGUGAUCUUCCACUAAAUCAAUAGAAGAAGGGGAGAUAUGAUCUUGCCAUUAGCUAAGCUAGGAACUCUUGCACUGAGAACUUUUUCCAAACCCAUAGCCAAUCGUUUCAAGAAGGAAGCCAGCAUUCACCCGAAAUUCCGCCAGUUCAUUAUCAAUUUUGCCCAGGCAAAUCAUCAAUUUACAACAAAUAUACAAAGACGCAUCUAUGGUCAUUCAACAAAUGUUGCAAUACGCCCCCUAAAUGAGGAAAAGGCUGUCCAAGCUGCUGCAGAUCUUGUUGGUGAACUCUUUGUGUUUUCGGUUGCAGUAGCUGCUGUAAUUUUUGAGGUGCAACGAAGUGCCAGAUCUGAAGCAAGAAAAGAGGAGCAGCGUAGACAAGAAUUAGAGGCACUGAAGAAAAGAGAUGAAGAUUUAUCAAGAGAAGUUGCGCUUCUCAAACAGAAACUUGCAGAGCUGGAAGAACUCUCCAGAGAACGAGGAUUAAGUGGAUUAUUCCAUGUUAGGCAUCCUCAUGAUGCUGAAAAUGUAAAAGCAAAAUCAUCUUGAUCGCUACACUGCAGAGAAAACAGGAACAUUCAUAGAACCAACUCUUUCUGAACAAAUUAUCAUCAACAGGGACUCAGCGAUACUCGGCAGGCUGACAGAAUUCCAUAGAAAGGAUAAUAUUUGAAUCUGUCAGUUUGACGUCACUGAACCCACCCUCUCCACCUGUGUCCUUAUUCACACUGCCCCCUUCUUUUCCACCUCAUGGUGCUCUCGGUUUUACCCCUUUCCUCGUAUGUACUUCUACUCCUAUUGAAAACCCGCCAUCAUCUGGCCCCCUAUGGUCACUUGCUCCAUCAUGUGCACCCCCACAAAACACCCAUUUCAUGCAAACUAAAAGUAAGGAAUUUGUAAACCAAAACCACCCCUUUCUCUCACUCUCUCCACCACUUCCAAUUCCCCUCCAGUUGAACCCAUCAUUGUGACUGAACAGACACUCUCAUUGGAAACAGGCCAUCGCUGAUGAAUUCUAUGCACUAGUUGCCAAUAAAACUUGGUCGUUGGUUCCUUGCUCCUGUCAAAUGGCAGUUUCGGGUUAAAUACAAUUCUAAUGGUAUAGUGGACAAGGGUAAAGCAUAUUUGGUGGUAAAGGGUUCAAUCAGCGAUGGGUAUUAAUAUUUCUGGCAUUUUCAGUGUUGUUGUAUGCCAUACGCUUCUUGCACUGUUCUUAACAGGACCAGCUUUGGUGACCUCUCUUUCCAAGAUUUUUAAGGUUUCACGAAUAUGAGAUAGGUUCGAACCUAAGUAUUUUCUUGAAAAUAUUAAUAUUCUAUCAGUUUUAUGAACUCUUGAUUCAUAAUAAAAAUUUUCUUAAUCA